rnacentral:rRNA from 1 species
GAUGAACGCUGGCGGCGUGCCUAAUACAUGCAAGUCGAGCGAACGGACGAGAAGCUUGCUUCUCUGAUGUUAGCGGCGGACGGGUGAGUAACACGUGGAUAACCUACCUAUAAGACUGGGAUAACUUCGGGAAACCGGAGCUAAUACCGGAUAAUAUUUUGAACCGCAUGGUUCAAAAGUGAAAGACGGUCUUGCUGUCACUUAUAGAUGGAUCCGCGCUGCAUUAGCUAGUUGGUAAGGUAACGGCUUACCAAGGCAACGAUGCAUAGCCGACCUGAGAGGGUGAUCGGCCAUACUGGAACUGAGACACGGUCCAGACUCCUACGGGAGGCAGCAGUAGGGAAUCUUCCGCAAUGGGCGAAAGCCUGACGGAGCAACGCCGCGUGAGUGAUGAAGGUCUUCGGAUCGUAAAACUCUGUUAUUUGGGAAGAACAUAUGUGUAAGUAACUGUGCACAUCUUGACGGUACCUAAUCAGAAAGCCACGGCUAACUACGUG